AGAAAAUCUGCCGGAUAGGCUAUAGCAGUCACUUCCACUGGCUGUUCGUCAAAAUACAGUUCCAUGUCUGUGGCUUUCUC
rnacentral:tRNA from 1 species